rnacentral:rRNA from 1 species
UAACCUGCCCAAGAGACUGGGAUAACACCUGGAAACAGAUGCUAAUACUGGAUAACAACACUAGACGCAUGUCUAGAGUUUAAAAGAUGGUUCUGCUAUCACUCUUGGAUGGACCUGCGGUGCAUUAGCUAGUUGGUAAGGUAACGGCUUACCAAGGCAAUGAUGCAUAGCCGAGUUGAGAGACUGAUCGGCCACAUUGGGACUGAGACACGGCCCAAACUCCUACGGGAGGCAGCAG